UCUACAUAUAUGUAAAACCAACACCUCA
rnacentral:sRNA from 1 species